GUUUCAUUUAAAGUAACUACUGAUUUCGCCAGGGACAACUGAACCAUGCAUUUUCCUACUUGAUUAGACCUUUUCCAAAUGAAAUUUCUAAUCCAAUGUAUCCUUGAUUCCGUAAAUUGUGCAAUUCAGUUCAAUAAUAAGUUUUUAAAUUCCUAUAAUCAAUGUGCUAACGGACGACACUGACAUCUAUCACAUCCAAUGUUUAUUGCUAAGUAGUUUCGAUUAGUUACUCUACAGAAAAUAGACAGUGCUUAUAAAUAAGUGUUUUACAUUAUCUGUUGCCGGCAUCCACGUUAUGAAGCAAAGGCUCUCAAAUAGUAAAUUAGAAGCCGCUUUGUACAAAGCUUGGUUAAUUUGCAUUUCUAUAUAAGCACUCAUACUGCAUUGAGUAGUUAUGAACUUAGAAGAAUUAUCUGCUGGUAUUAUCCGGAAUUCUUCUAGCAGUACAGUAAUUGGAAUUUCAAAUGUGAGCAAGUUGGUUUGAUGCUUGCUGGUAUGGGAGCUUCGGUCGAUGUUUUUCAAAUGGCAAGGGCUCGUUGGGAAAAGAGGCAAGCAAAAGUCUUGAAAAAAGUCAGAACACGGAUGGUGAACCAAGAGAAUUCAGACACAGGCAGGUCUUGGAGCGAUGUCUGGGGAUCCCCACCACGAGAUCAAAACAAUGAGGAAGAAGCAUCGGAGAGAGCCAAGAGAGCGGCGGCUGCUGCAAGACGGUGGUGACAAUACUCAAGGCGAGGCGCAGACAGGCCUCCGACAUACAAGCUUCCAGAGGCAGUGGGCAACAAAGAUUAGUCCACUGAAUAGAGAAAACUUCUACCAUGGUUUGGCCAAAUCUGGUAAACCUUUACUGUACAGUGUCAUUGUUUGCAGAUGUGAUGCGAAGGUUCGCUUUGCCUUCCCAGUGAAUGAGUAGAGAUGGAAAUGGAUGGCUAAUGUUUUCUUUGUAGUUGGGUUUGAGUCUCUUAACUGACGUUUAUGCCUUUAGAUACUGUUCCUAACAUUGGAUCUGUGAUAGUCUCCGCGGUUUUUGUGAAUUUAUGAUUAUUCUGCAAAAAGCAAAACAAAAAAAAGAAGUUCUUGAUCUGAUUGUGUCCUGAUUAGUAGAGAAGUGAUGAACUUUAAGCAAAAAUAUAGGCCAAUUUCACCUGUAGUGCUUGAGAAUACGAUUUAACCUGUGCCAUGGCUAGGUGCUCUUGUGGAGCUACCAAAUUUGACAUCCAUGGUAAAACUUGCUUCAUAUACAUUUUCCGACACCAUUCCAUAUAAACUUAGCUAAGCUACAGGUCCAAUCAUGCUUCAGUCUGAUUGUCUGUUAUUCAUUGCUGUUAUGUUCUGAAUGUCUGCUGCGUGGACGCUUCUCUUUCUGUUCUAUCAUCUCCUACAGGUAUUGCUAUCCACCCAAAAUAGUUUUUUGGGAAGCAUGAGGUGUGCACCAUACCCUGGCUUCAGUCUGAUUGUUUUAAUGUUCUCCUAUCUUCUAACUACUAGGAAUUUAAUGCAUUGAUCCCCCAUAUUUGCAUCUAUCACUUGAAGCAUCACUUGCAAGACAAUGGACAGCAAAAUAAUUCUGAGUUUUUACAUGUUUUACUGCUAUUAUUGGAUUCUGUGCGCCAAAUUGCCAUAAGUGUCAGUUUCAGCUUUUAAUGUUGCAUGCUUGACUAUACUGAAAUUUCGGUGGAGACUUCAUUUACUGUUCUUUCGUUCAAGUUGGUUAUUCUGAUCCCCUAGCUAUUUUAAAUAAUAUAUGUCUAAAUUAUGGACUCAGUCAUCUUGAUUUCACAAUUUAUUUGAGAGAUGUGCAGUAAGCGUAAGCUAUAUAUAGUAGUAUGCCCACUGUUGUGGACCUUCAAACAUUGUGUAAGUAGGUAACUGAUUACAUCUACAGCAUACUCUGUUCUACCUCCAGCUGUGAUCAUUGCUCUUGUGAUCAACUGCAAUUCGUCUGAUCUCAAGCUAGCAGUGAAACAUGUGAAGCUUCUACCUUCCUGUACAUACAGAUGAUUGCUGAGAAGGAUGAGAGGAGUUGCCUGAGCAGAUUACCCAUUCGAUCAUGAAAGUACCACUUUGUAAGGUCGAUUUCACAUUUGAAUUUGAUGGGUGAUGGAUACAAGUAGAAUAUGCCAUAAAAAUAGCAAUGAUCAAUCAUAUGUAGAUCAUACUAUUUAUCUUAUUAAUUAUAUUGGAUGUAUGUCACCAAGAUAUAUCUUGGACAUAUUUGUCAAGAUACAAGCAUUCAGGAGAUAUUUCUACAAUUGAAAUUAGUUUACAAA